GAUGAACGCUGGCGGCGUGCCUAAUACAUGCAAGUCGAGCGAACGGACGAGAAGCUUGCUUCUCUGAUGUUAGCGGCGGACGGGUGAGUAACACGUGGAUAACCUACUUAUAAGACUGGGAUAACUUCGGGAAACCGGAGCUAAUACCGGAUAAUAUUUUGAACCGCAUGGUUCAAAAGAAAAAGACGGCCUUGCUGUCACUUAUAGAUGGAUCCGCGCUGCUUUAGCUAGUUGGUAAGGUAACGGCUUACCAAGGCAACGAUGCAUAGCCGACCUGAGAGGGUGAUCGGCCACACUGGAACUGAGACACGGUCCAGACUCCUACGGGAGGCAGCAGUAGGGAAUCUUCCGCAAUGGGCGAAAGCCUGACGGAGCAACGCCGCGUGAGUGAUGAAGGUCUUCGGAUCGUAAAACUCUGUUAUUAGGGAAGAACAUAUGUGUAAGUAACUGUGCACAUCUUGACGGUACCUAAUCAGAAAGCCACGGCUAACUACGU
rnacentral:rRNA from 1 species